rnacentral:sRNA from 1 species
CCUCUGGAGCGUUACACCAAACGAGAGUAGCCCUGGCGAAAUCGGGCGCGAUGAAUGAGGAA